rnacentral:rRNA from 1 species
UACGGGGGGGGGCAAGCGUUGUCCGGAAUUACUGGGCGUAAAGAGCUCGUAGGUGGUUUGUCGCGUUGUCCGUGAAAACUCACAGCUCAACUGUGGGCGUGCGGGCGAUACGGGCAGACUGGAGUACUGCAGGGGAGACUGGAAUUCCUGGUGUAGCGGUGGAAUGCGCAGAUAUCAGGAGGAACACCGGUGGCGAAGGCGGGUCUCUGGGCCGAUACUGACGCUGAGGAGCGAAAGCGUGGGGAGCAAACAGG